GACGAACGCUGGCGGCGUGCUUAACACAUGCAAGUCGAGCGGUAAGGCCCUUUCGGGGUACGACGAGCGGCGAACGGGUGAGUAACACGUGGGUGACCUGCCCUCAGCUCUGGGAUAAGCCUGGGAAACCGGGUCUAAUACUGGAUAUGACUCCAUGACGCAUGUUGGUGGGGUGGAAAGCCUUGUGCGGCUGAGGAUGGGCCCGCGGCCUAUCAGCUUGUUGGUGGGGUGANAGCCUACCAAGGCGACGACGGGUAGCCGGCCUGAGAGGGCGACCGGCCACACUGGGACUGAGACACGGCCCAGACUCCUACGGGGAGGCAGCAGUGGGGAAUCUUGCGCAAUGGGCGAAAGCCUGACGCAGCGACGCCGCGUGAGGGAUGACGGCCUCGGUU
rnacentral:rRNA from 1 species